UAUCGUAUCGGCCGGCGCAGUCAGUUUACUUUUGGCGCUCGUCGCGUGCACAACGUUAAGCGGGCAGACACAAUAGGCGGCACAGAACGUAGGUGUAAACUUGACUUUGACUCUCACGCUCUCCCACACCGUAAAGUGCGAUCGUACGUGUGCGUGCGUGUGUGUGUGCAGUUCAUUCGAAUGCUCGCUCGUUCACUUGCAAAGGCUGACCGUGAAGUUUGUUCUUUUUGCAUGCUUAUAAGCUGAGUAACUGUAACUGUGCUUUGUUGUUUGUGUUUUGAGUUGUAUUAAUUUUUUGCUUUUGCUUUGCGCUUUGUUAUUGCCGCUCUGCACUCUCCGCCAAGUUCAUUCACGUUCAUUCACGUUUCAUCACCGCUGGCCGUCUAAUUAAAUUUAAGUGUUAACACAGUUUAUUCGGUAACAAAGAGAAAUAAUCAUAAUAAUACUGAAAUAUAAAAAACAAACCC